ensembl:lncRNA
GAAUCAUUCAUCUCGACCUUCCUGCUCCUUAUAUAAGUGCACCACAUCAUCAGUAACGCAGUGAACGUCUUUAUGGCGGUGAGUUACAUCAGUGCUUAUCGUUUAAUCUCGAUAUCAGUCGGUUUUAUUGGCUCUGAUGCUGUUAUAUUUCUUCCUGAUUUACUCGCUCCUUUUUUUUCCCGCCACCCUCAGGACUUUCACUGUCACUUGACUACGAGCGAGGUGGUGGGUUACCUCGGAGGCCGAUGGGACACUACGACACAGCUGCUGACGGUCUUGCGAGCGUUCCCCGUGUCGCACGCAAUUGGCUGACAGGGAUGCCGCACCCGCCGUGGAGGAAGAGAUUUGUCAGAACCUGUUCAUGAGAGGGCUCUCAUUGGUGGGCUGGUACCACAGUCACCCUCGAGGCCCCGCCCUCCCCGUCGCUGCAGGGACAUCGAUUCGCAGAUGGACCACCAGCUCCGCCUCCAGGGCAGCAGCAACGGCUUCCAGCCCUGCCUGGGCAUCAUCUGUGGACCUUAUUACCAUGGCAACCAAGGUGUGGCGUCGACCAUCACUCCGUUCUGGGUGGUUCCUCCUCCAGAACAAAGGCCGAAUGAUUACGGUAUCCCAGUGGCAGUGGAAGUCACGUACGUGCAAGACAACUUCCUCACUACAGACGUCCUCAAUGAAAUGAUGAUGCUGGUGGAGUUUUAUCGAGCUGCUCCAGACCUGGUCAAUUUUAAUCAGAUGUGGUGUUCUGACACAUCAAUACUGGAGAAAAUGAAGGCGUCCCUGAGUGGCCACGCCCCCAAAGACCAGGCCUACUCUCAAAUCCUGGAGCACGUCUACAACCAGCUGCGCAACAUGCAGUGAUGGAAACAUCGUCUCUGUCUUCUCACUGUGGAUCUGUGUGUGGGAUCAAAGAACAUCCCACUUUGAUCUGACACACACACACACACACACGCGCGCGCGCGCGCGCACCGACGCACUGAGGAACUGAGUGCUUCUGCAUCAUCAUGGCUGGCUCCUUCAUUACAGACAUGAAUAUGUCUUCCAUUUCUGUAGACAGAAUAGCGUGAAUAGGUUAGAAUAGGAAAAAAAGUGUUCUUUCAUAUUUAUCCAGUUGGCGCGCACACACACACACACACACACACACACACAGCCAGGAUGCGCAGUUUACCUCUCAACGAUGUCACACGCAGCUAGUUUACUCAUUGGGAAAAUGCAGCAUCAUACCCUUUUGGUAAAUUGUUAACUUCUGCGCUUAAUAUACCUCAUUUUAUGGCUCAAGCUCCGUUUCCCGGUUCAAUCCUGCGUGGACUUUCACACGGCCUCCCCUUGUCAGCGUGGGUUUCCUCCGGGUUCUCCGGUUUCCUCCCGCUCCCAAAAAAAAAGAACAGGUGGAUUUCCGACUCUAAAUUGCAACUAGAUGUGAACGAGCGCGGGAAUGUAUCCGUGUGCAUGGUGCCCUGAUGUACUGGGGUCCCAUUCGGGGUGUAUUCCUGCUUCGUACGCACUUCGGCUCACCGGGAUAAUAACAUAGGAAGGGCAGAGAGAUUUAAUAAAAUCCUCACGUGCAUUACACUCAACACGCCUGGAUAUCUUCAGGAUCGUUGAGAAGUAAACCGCACCCUGCGCUGGAAAAGAAGACCUACUGAAUAUGCUAAAUAUACACUGGAGCUCUUAUCGGCGAGUUAUAUGAGCCGGAAUUCUCGUCGCUCCCGUUGUUUAGAAAGGAAAACAGACGGACGUUACCCGUCCGUCAGUUUUCCUUUCUAAACAACGGGAGCGACGGGAAUUCCGUCUCAUUUAACUCGCCGAUAAGAGUCGACUCUUUCGGCUCCGAGUUUGUUCUAAAACCAGACGGACACGAGAACCGUAUUUUUCGAGUAAGCUGUAACGCGGAAGACGCAAGUCACGCGUUUCAGUGCUGUCUUUUUCAAAUGAAGGGAAACGACAUCGAAGCGGGUCAGUCCUGGACGUUCACCCAGAAGAGUCAAGUCAAAAACGACACACUAAUUAGAACAGAGAGAGAGAGAGAAACGUUUCUAAAUAAUAAAACACUAGAAAAGGGCAUGUGACGAUAAAGAAAUCUCCAGAUCCGUUCAGUCAUCAUCAUCGAAUUUUGUGUAGCACCACUAGUCCUCCUGUUACCGUGGAAGAGUAACAGAGUCCAGACGUAAAAUCAGAAACAAAGGAGACGGCAGUUAUCGUAUUUAUGAGACCGUGUGUAGAAAAAUGGCCUCCUGUACCCUGUUAAAAUAAAAGUACCAAACUACUUUUCCUUUUGUACGUCUCGUGUGUAUCUUUUACCUGGGAAGGUGCACGUGGUGUACUUUUUAAUUAGCUGUUAAGAGGAAAGCUUUAAAGAUGGAUCAGUCCACUUAUGUAUGGUGUAUUAUUUGUAAAGGUACACUAGAUUAAGACUUUCCACAGCAGGAAAACGUUAUUUCUGAGACGGUCCAGUCGAUGUGUAGCCAGUGACUGCUGGUCCUGAGAGAAUUUUGUCAUCAUUGACUCGAUAAUGAAAUUAGGGUUGAGGUUCAUGAGAAGCCCAUGAGGGCUUUUGUUAUUGUUGUUGUUGUUGUUGUUGUUUUCAGGAACCAGAGACAUGUGGCACAAACUGUCAGAACACACACUUACUAAAACACACAUAGACACAUAAUUGGAUUUGCGCAUCUUAAAUGUGUAAUCAUCUAAAUGUAUUUUGUAGGUAAAUUCUUGCCUAUACGGUGCCCUCCAAUAAUAUUGGCACCCUUGGUAAAUAUGAGCAAAGAAGGCUGUGAGAAAUUGUCUGUAUUGUUGAACCUUUUGAUCGUUUGUUCAAGAAAUGCACAAAAAAAAAAUACUCUCCUCAUGGAUAUCAAACAACUGCAAACACAACACAGGUUUAUCAAAAAACAAACACACACUAAUUCCUUUCUUUAACCUUUUAGAAAUAAACAAAGAAACUCAAAUGAAUCUGCUUGGCUGUUAAACUUUCACUUUUCUACUAUAAUGUAUUCGAGUCAUGAAAUAUCGCAGUAUUUUGUGUAAAGAUUGUGGAGUUUGAAAGGUUGAACCGGUCUUUAUUGACGUUCUAGAGAUCCAGGAAGUCGGGGAAACGCUCCUUACAGGCUAACCAAUAGGAUGCGUCGAAUUCGAUCACGUGAUCUUUUUUCUUUUCUGUAAAGACGUCGCUAAUUGGCGGGCUGAUUUAACCGCUUGGUUUAAAUGGAGCAGUCGCCAUUUUGUUUCUGUUUCAUCACAACGCGUACAGAUUAUUCACGUAAAAAUGGCGCAGGGACGUGAAGAGAGCAAAGAGAAAGAAGCAGAAUGAACAAAACUCUUCGUGUGUUUCCCCCACACCCGGUUCUUCUGGUACUUCACCUCUCUCUUCUGGCUGGAAAGACCACUAAAGGCCAACGGUGUACUCGUGUUAACGCACCUGUUAAUGAGUGUUUUUCAGGUCAUCGCGGUGUUGCCGUGUGGAGAGAGAUGGAGAGAACCUUUUGUUAGUGUUCUGGUAGAACGGGAGUGUGAAGAUCUACGAGACGACGAAGGUUCCAGACUAAAGCGCCGCCGCAUCGCUCUCUCUAUAGGUCGAGAUGACGUGAAGCCCGCACCACUAUCAGCAGGUAGUCGAAUGGCAUCGUGGGUAAUCUAGGAAACUUGUAUGAAAUGAACAGCGCAACAUGCAAGUGAAAGAAGUUUACUCUUCAUCCGAUAUCACCUCGUUCUGUGUGACCCGAGCAUCCGGGUUUGUAACACCCAGCGCUUUUCUUAUAACACACGACACACACUUUACGCACACGUGCAUUUCGUCGUCUCAUGAUUACACACGUGGUCCCAGGGCGAGGUUUUUCCACAUUUAUUUACGUAAAAGACGGGGAGAAAGCAAGUACAAAUAUUCAGGUGUACAGGAUAUUCAGGAAUAACAGGAUAAUCUAGUUAGUUUUUUUUUUUUUUUUCCUUUCAAGACAAACCAGAUUUUUUUAUUUUAUUUAAACAAACUAAAACAUACAUUAGCAAGCUAUCAUAUAGACCUAACAUGCAAAUAAUUAAUUAAAAAAACAGAUGUGUACAUAGAAAAAUAAUAUAAUACUAAAGAAGACUACCGGAAUAAUUUUUUAUUUAUUUUUUAAGUGUGUAAAAUUAUUCUGGCACUCUGGUGGAUUAGAUGGAAAAAUAACUCCUUUAUUUUACCAACUGUAGUGUUGCUGCGAAGGCACAUAUGUACUCAUGCUUGUACGUCUGUACACGGCUCAUGCCGAAGCCAGAAACACACCGAGCCCUUUUUAAAAAACAAACAAAAAAAAACAAACGGUACGAGGGGACGGAAAGAAAACACGGUGCCGAUGGGAAUCCGUUUGGUGUCCUAGCUUUCUCGUUCGCGGCGUCCUCGAGGCACGCGGGCCGGCUCGUCGUUCUCCAUCUUCGUUUUAUGUUGAAUAGGAAGUUCUCUCUCACACACACACGUGUGCACACACACACUGUAAACAAGGCAGUGAAAAUGUUAACAUUACCCGAGCAAGUGAUUUUAAAAACGAAGGACUCCAGCAUGCGAGACGCGUCGAGGUCGAGGCUCAAAACUUUUGCCGCCUGCGUCGUGAGAUGACGCGCGUCACGUUAUCAUACACACUUUAACACACGCAUCCAAAGCCUGAAAAUCGUGGUACUCCUCUCAUUGUGUGUGUACAGAAGCCCUGAUCCUGGAGAUCCAUUCCAUUAUUUUCACUCGAUAUCUGUCUAUAUUUCGACACCCUCACUCAGCCUUGUGCGAUGUUGUUUUUUUUUUUUUUUUAGACCCGAACGUACGUACGGUGAUGGAAUUCACUUCGUAUCAAUGACCUCGAACUAUUCGUUUACUGCGUCAGAGAGAGGGCGACCGGUCGCGAGCACCACGGGACGAGAUGGGAGGGGGCGGGGCUUCCCGGCGGUGUCACUGUUCAUAACGGAAAGUUUAAAGGAGUCGCGGCGUGAUUUUCCUGACAUACGAGGAGGUUGUUCCAUUAAGACGUCACUCGGGUUUCACGGCGUGAUGCGUCCUCCUCGGUUCAAAAAGAGCGUUUAUUUAACCGAGCGGCAAAAAAAAACGGCUCGUUUGGAUGUGGCGGGAUUUGUGACGUCACACGGGCAAAUAACAUUCGCAUACCGACUGCCCCUUGCAGCGAGAUAUCGACACCUACUUUUAAAUCAUCACACCGUCGGCCCUGCCCACUGGCGCGGAAAAGUUAUUUGUGUGUGUAUGUGGGAGGGAGGGGUGGGGCUGGGGGGGGGGGGGGGGGGACACUGCCUGCAGUAUCAUCUACACAGAUUACAGAAGCUCAAACCAGGCAACACGUUAAAGCCUAACACAUCCUGUACACUGCGAUAGCGCAAAGCGGUUUGGCCGUUUUCCUGCAUGCGCGCGGUCACGUUCUCUCUCAGCUCACUGCAGUGCGGUGGUGAUCUUCCUCGCAAUAAAAGACGAUUCCGUUUCACUUAUUUCCCAGGAGACGGGGUGGUGUAGUGUUUUUAACUGUUCACGUAGUGUACACGGGUUAUAUUGUACAGAAACGACAAGUUCUGUAAACAUGUUUCUCAUCAAUCCCUCGCUGUGGCUGAGCUGCACGGUUAGUGUUUUUUUUCCUCCUCUAACACACCGCACACUUCCUUCAUCACCUUAAUGAGGCGAAUCAGUGUGUCAAGAUGGGCGUAUCUUCCAGACUAUAAUCGCACAACAAUAUCAGACUGUGUGUGUGUGUGUGUUGGUUGGUUAAGUCGCAUAUGUUUUUACUUUGCGUAAGCGCUGCCUCUGAAACAGCACUUCAGCGCCCUCUACAGGUGCGGUCUAGUUUAGUGUUUGUCCUGUGAGUGUCGCUGUGACGCCGCGCUGAAUUUUCAUUCUUGUUUAUUAGCCUUGAGGUGAAUCCUGAAAAAUCAACGGUAGUUUAGUGUUCGGAAUUUUAAAAGAAAUUUUGUAUGCAGAAUUCAGGAGACGAAAAAGAUCAAACUAACUAAUCUAACUAAAGCCGGACUGUCGAAACCUAAAUAUAUUAGUUUGGUUAGUGCAUGAGUUCUAACACACUUAUA